UUUCCGUAGGUGAACCUGCGGAUGGAUCAUUAUUGUAUAACCGAGGUGCGAGGGCUGUCGCUGACCCGAAAGGUCGUGCACGCCCGAGUGCCCUCACACACAUCCAUCUCACCCCUAUGUGCACCACCGCGUGGGUCCCCCUUUGGCUUGUUCGGAGGGGGGCUUACGUUUUCACACAAACUUUGUAUGCAGUGUAGAAUGUAUUUUUUGUUUUUGCGAUCACGCAAUCAAUACAACUUUCAACAACGGAUCUCUUGGUUCUG
rnacentral:misc_RNA from 1 species